UACGAAGGGGGCGAGCGUUGUUCGGAAUCACUGGGCAUAAAGCGCACGUAGGCGGCUUGGCAAGUCGGAUGUGAAAUCCCUCGGCUCAACCAAGGAAGUGCAUCCGAAACUGCUGAGCUUGAGUGCUUAAGAGGAUCGCGGAAUUCCCGGUGUAGAGGUGAAAUUCGUAGAUAUCGGGAGGAACACCAGUGGCGAAGGCGGCGAUCUGGGAAGAUACUGACGCUGAGGUGCGAAAGCGUGGGGAGCAAACAGG
rnacentral:rRNA from 1 species